UACGAAGGGGGCUAGCGUUGCUCGGAAUCACUGGGCGUAAAGCGCACGUAGGCGGAUUGCUAAGUCAGGGGUGAAAUCCUGGAGCUCAACUCCAGAACUGCCUUUGAUACUGGCGAUCUCGAGUCCGGGAGAGGUGAGUGGAACUGCGAGUGUAGAGGUGAAAUUCGUAGAUAUUCGCAAGAACACCAGUGGCGAAGGCGGCUCACUGGCCCGGUACUGACACUGAGACACGAAAGCGUGGGGAGCAAACAGG
rnacentral:rRNA from 1 species